GGGGGAUUCUAUGAAAUUGAAAGAUCUCAAACAAGUUGGUUGUGAACUCUGCAGUUUUUUUUCUUCUUUCUUGAAAGAACCACACCAAACAAACCUCCCCAAAACACAAGAAAACCCCCUAGAAAACAAAACCUCUGAAAACAUUGGAGAAUUUUGAAAUGUUCAAACAAGCAGUUGUUUUUUCAGCUGUUGCAGGUAUUAAACAACAGCAAGAAAAUCCUCUGCUAUGACCUGUCAUUAGAAAUAAUCCUUUCUUGGUCAUGCUGAACAGCUGGGUUCAUUGCUUCUCCUGCAACUGUAAUCUUCAACUUCUCGACUUGUUACCUGCACAAUGAUUCAUCAAAAUGUUAAGCUAAUGAAUGUCUCUCAGAUAUUUGGACACAUAACCACAGCUAGUGGGCACACAGCCAUAGUUUUCUCCAUCGUGAGUCUUCAAAUAUUAUCUGAUCAGGUAAGUAAAGCUGGUUAAGUCUGUACCGAAUCUGCUUACCCUGUCUAGCUGCUACUAAAUAUGCAGUAAAGGAGUAAAUUUUACAGUAGAUAAUAAUGGACAGUUCUGUGUUCGUUUACUGUUUCUGUUACAGUUGAAAAUCUGUCUUGUGCUGGUUGCAUAAUGCUGUCAACAGGGAAGCAAGAUGAUGUCACAGGUUGCAGUAGAUGUUGAUAGUUUGGAAACUGUAAAUUCUGUGAAUGUUCAUAAUAGUAGGGAACCCGAGCAAUGAAAACGAAGGCUAUAGCAGUUAUAUGUUUGCAAGUGCCUUCAAAAACUUCCCAGUUCUUAAGCAAUGAAGAAUAAGGAUGCAUCUAGUAAUUGUUGAUAUGGAGGUAGGAAUGACCACAUUUCUUUUUUUCUAUAAGAUGUACACUCUCAAAAUAAAAGACUCUUUAAAAAUAAAGAAAUCUAAUAACAUACUCCAGAGUUUUUCCCUAUCCUCUUAGGAUGAGAAUCCCAAAUUCAAACCCUCACAUUGCGAGGCCCUUAUUUUUAAUUUCAAGUGCAUAAAGAACAGUGGCAUAUUGCAGUGAUAUACUUGUUUUUAGGAGUGUUUGUAUUUUAGGAGGGUGUGAAGAACUGUGAAAAAACAGGUUUCAGAGAGGCACGUGUUUGGUUUGUAGUUCCUACCAUGGGACCAUAUCCCAGUUUGUGAGUCUAAAAUGACAUUAUGAAAUUGUCAAAAAUAUCUUGCUGUGACCUUGUGGCUGCUGCAGGAAUUUGAGCUUUUGUAUGGCCUGUAGGUUACUAUUUGUUAACGUAACUUCUAGUUUUUAUUGGUGAGACUCCUAUUUGGGCUGACUAAAUUUGCAUGUGUUUUCCAGAAACCAGACUGGGCCACUGAAGCUUCACAUGAAUCGCUGGAGGUGUCCAGGAGUUGCUGCACUCAUAAGUGUAGAGGUAUAUUGUAUCCAGGCUAAGGUCAAUGUUUGUUACUCUGACUCAUUUUAAACAUCUGCCAGUUUGCUGUAACACAGAGUCCAGUCUGGAAACAUUCAGUGGGGCAGGACUGUAUGUAGAAUAAGUCUUCCCAUCUUCUUCUUCCUAUUGUCCUCUCAGAGUUUCAUCAUGUUUGUCUCCAUUGAACCAGUCUGCUCUGGUUCCCAGUGGCAGUGUUAUGUGCCAUUAGCUGGUAAACCUUCCACGGGCCACUGGGGAAUGCCCAGUUGCAGGCCUAAUACAGCCAGAAUUAUUCAGGCCGUGCCCUCUCCUCUAACUGUGAAAGCCUGCAAACAUAGUUUCAAGUCUCAGGGCUUUUACCAGCUGUCAGAAUUUGGACAGUCAAUUCAGCUGGCUCAGUGACUGAAAUCAGUCGUUUUGACUGGCAGUUAUUUAAUUGUCCUACUUGUACAGCAUCCAGGGAGGCCUCUGGCCCCUGCUCUCUUGUACUGUAUCUCUAUUUACAGAGUGACAGAAAACAUUUCCUUGCAAAUGAGGCUCAUU